rfam:Xiphophorus maculatus strain JP 163 A Contig8578.1, whole genome shotgun sequence.
GUCAGGAUGGCUGAGCGGUCUAAGGCGCUGCGUUUAGGUCGCAGUCUCCAAUGGAGGCGUGGGUUCGAAUCCCACUUCUGACA